rnacentral:rRNA from 1 species
GAUGAACGCUGGCGGCGUGCCUAAUACAUGCAAGUCGAGCGAACAGACGAGGAGCUUGCUCCUCUGACGUUAGCGGCGGACGGGUGAGUAACACGUGGAUAACCUACCUAUAAGACUGGGAUAACUUCGGGAAACCGGAGCUAAUACCGGAUAAUAUAUUGAACCGCAUGGUUCAAUAGUGAAAGACGGUUUUGCUGUCACUUAUAGAUGGAUCCGCGCCGCAUUAGCUAGUUGGUAAGGUAACGGCUUACCAAGGCAACGAUGCGUAGCCGACCUGAGAGGGUGAUAGGCCACCCUGGAACUGAGACACGGUCCAGACUCCUACGGGAGGCAGCAGUAGGGAAUCUUCCGCAAUGGGCGAAAGCCUGACGGAGCAACGCCGCGUGAGUGAUGAAGGUCUUCGGAUCGUAAAACUCUGUUAUUAGGGAAGAACAAAUGUGUAAGUAACUAUGCACGUCUUGACGGUACCUAAUCAGAAAGCCACGGCUAACUACGUG